UACGAAGGGUGCAAGCGUUAAUCGGAAUUACUGGGCGUAAAGGGUGCGUAGGCGGUUAGUUAAGUCUGUUGUGAAAUCCCCGGGCUCAACCUGGGAAUGGCAAUGGAUACUGGCUGGCUAGAGUGUGUCAGAGGAUGGUGGAAUUCCCGGUGUAGCGGUGAAAUGCGUAGAGAUCGGGAAGAACACAAGUGGCGAAGGCGACGUGCUGGGUUGCAACUGACGCUGAGAUGCGAAAGUGUGGGGAGCAAACGGG
rnacentral:rRNA from 1 species